UACGGGGGGGAGCAAGCGUUGUUCGGAUUUACUGGGCGUAAAGGGCGCGUAGGCGGCCACCGCAAGUCGACUGUGAAAUCUCCGGGCUUAACCCGGAAAGGUCAGCCGAUACUGCGGGGCUAGAGUGCAGAAGGGGCAACUGGAAUUCUCGGUGUAGCGGUGAAAUGCGUAGAUAUUGGGAAGAACACCUGAGGCGAAGGCGGGUUGCUGGGCCGACACUGACGCUGAGGCGCGAAAGCCAGGGGAGCAAACGGG
rnacentral:rRNA from 1 species